CCAUGCAGUCGACGCGAAAGGGAGCUUCGGCCCUGAGUAAAGUGGCGCACGGGUGAGUAACGCGUGGAUAAUCUGCCCUGUGAUCUGGGAUAACACUUCGAAAGGGGUGCUAAUACCGGAUAAGACCACGGAGUCUUAGGACUCUGCGGUAAAAGGUGGGGACCUUCGGGCCUACCGUCAUCGGAUGAGUCCGCGUACCAUUAGCUAGUUGGUAGGGUAAGAGCCUACCAAGGCGACGAUGGUUAGCUGGUCUGAGAGGAUGAUCAGCCACACUGGAACUGAGACACGGUCCAGACUCCUACGGGAGGCAGCAGUGGGGAAUUUUGCGCAAUGGGGGAAACCCUGACGCAGCAACGCCGCGUGAGUGAUGAAGGCCUUCGGGUCGUAAAGCUCUGUCAGAGGGGAAGAAGUGUGCGGGUGCUAAUAUCAUCUGCGCUUGACGGUACCCUCAAAGGAAGCACCGGCUAACUCCGUGCCAGCAGCCGGGGGUAAUACA
rnacentral:rRNA from 1 species